UACGAAGGGGGCUAGCGUUGCUCGGAAUCACUGGGCGUAAAGCGCACGUAGGCGGCUUACUAAGUCAGGGGUGAAAUCCUGGAGCUCAACUCCAGAACUGCCUUUGAUACUGGUGAGCUUGAGUCCGGAAGAGGUGAGUGGAACUGCGAGUGUAGAGGUGAAAUUCGUAGAUAUUCGCAAGAACACCUGUGGCGAAGGCGGCUUUCUGGGCCUUACCUGACGCUGAGACGCGAAAGCGUGGGGAGCGAACCGG
rnacentral:rRNA from 1 species